UAAUAAUAGAAAUCACGCCACUGUCAAUCGGUUGCUGCAUUAGUCUGAGGCAGAUUUCCCCUCCAAGGAGGCUUUCAAUGACUUCAUUCAAGUGCAGGCAGGAGCAAAUGGGAUAUACAAAAUACCAGCUGUACAACUUCAGUGAUUUGUGUCCUGGCAGAGGGGUGCAGUGCAAGUGCUGGUGCUGUGGAUCAACUCAAGUAGAUGUAUCUGUGUCACAUUUCGUGGCUGAAAGCUUCUCCCUGACCAGCUGGUCUUACUUCUGGAGUUCCUCUUGGAGGAGAAGACACUGUGUCCUAGAAUACUGCAGUGCUUAGAGAGAACAUACCAGCUCCGGGAGCAAGAUGCCGAGGUUCGUCAUCGGUGGUGUGAACUUGUCAUUAAACACAAAUAUGAGCCUGGGUAUGGAGACAUUGAGAGAUUCCUUAGAGAGGAUCAAGCUAUGGGUGUGUAUCUCUAUGGUGAAUUAAUGGUGAAUGAAGAUGCAAAACAACAGGAACUUGCACGGAAAUGCUUUGCUGCAGCACAAGAACAUAUGGAUGCAUCCUCAGCCAAAGUGGUGGCAGAGAUGUUAUUCUGAAAAGGAAAGAUCACAGACAACUCUUUUAAUAGAUCUUCUACUAAACCCCGAUGGUACUAGGAUUUCAUUGACCCAGGACAUCAAAGAAAGCAUUAUGUGACUGCUAAAACAAUCAGCUGACAGAAAGAUUUACCUUUUUGUAUUUCCAGAGGUCCACUGUAACUGAGAACACAUGCACACAAAACAAACUACACACACACACACACGUGUUACUCUGGCUCUAGGUAAUUCUUUGAUACAAGAAUUUUGGGAUUUAUCCUUGCACUUUGGUAAUACAAUCAUUCUGGCUUGCAGAUGCCAAAGAUUCUUGAUUUGAACAACUUUAUUAAUUUGGGCAAUCUGAAAAUGAAUGAAACUGUACUGUGUACUUAAAAUUUUGUUUGUAACUUCUUUUUCAUAUUUAUAAAACCUCAGUAUAAAAUCAGCAGGGGCUGGGGUGGGGCUCGUAAGAUUAGACAGAAGCAGAAAUAAACUGUGGAAAGUUACCUGCCAUCAUCCUGGUGAUUGGAUGGGACUGAAGAAAAAACAAAGAUCAUCAUGCUCUCUCUGCCAUGUUUAGGUUAAAUUUUACUGUGUCAGACCUCCCAUUCAUACCCUUGUGAUGCUUAUUUUGCAAUGAUAUGUCAAUUAUAUCUCUUCUUUCUGAUCAAUGAAUCUCUAAAUUUUUAGAAGAUAUCUUAAUUGUUCCUUUCAGAGAGUAAGAAUUUAAACCACAAAAAUCUGUAAAAGUAUUUCUCCUGUACUCUAUUGUUUUAUAUCAAAUCCUCUUUGCUAAUAAUAAAAUUAUCAAAAUA